CUACGGGGGGCUGCAGUGGGGAAUAUUGGGCAAUGGGCGCAAGCCUGACCCAGCAACGCCGCGUGAGGGAAGAAGGUUUUCGGAUUGUAAACCUCUGUCCUUGGGGACGAAGAAGUGACGGUACCCAAGGAGGAAGCUCCGGCUAACUACGUGCCAGCAGCCGCGGUAAUACGUAGGGAGCAAGCGUUGUCCGGAAUUACUGGGCGUAAAGGGUGCGUAGGCGGCAUAUUAAGUCAGGUGUGAAAUACUCGGGCUCAACCCGAGGGGUGCAUUUGAAACUGAUAAGCUUGAGUGUGAGAGAGGAAAGUGGAAUUCCUAGUGUAGCGGUGGAAUGCGUAGAUAUUAGGAGGAACACCAGUGGCGAAGGCGACUUUCUGGCUCAUAACUGACGCUGAGGCACGAAAGCGUGGGGAGCAAACAGGAUUAGAUACCCCUGUAGUC
rnacentral:rRNA from 1 species